UCAGCCUUGUAUGGGUUGACAAUGGCAGUACUUGCUACCAUCUUGGUGCAGAAAACCUUGAGUAAGGGAGUAUGAAGCAUGGCAGCAAGAGGAGAUUUCAAGGAACUGUCCUGAUGAAGACACAAUGAGGCCAACCUUGGAAUGAUGUGGACAAUGAGAUGUGUUUUUUUUUACCCAAGAUCCCCACAGAUAUCUUUGACCAGGGAAGAGACUAGAAACCAUGCUAUAUAUAUUGAUCUGUAAUAGUUCUGUUUUAGGACAUAGAAAUGGGACUCGUGUGAAUAUGUUGUUUAUGUAUAUUGGCUGGGCAUGUCAGAUUGAACAGGAUGCCAAUUAUGGGAAGCAUGUAAUUAAUGAGACUAGAAUUGAUGAUUAAGUCAUAUGUGUUGAUAUGAUCAUAAACAAGAUUUUGUGGUUUAUGUUGGCUGGAUAUUGACCAACUGAACAGGGUGCAUUUGGAUGGAAAAUAUGUUUAAUGGAGAACUAAGUGAUAUAUAAAA